rnacentral:rRNA from 1 species
UGAGGGAAUAUUGGGGACAAUGGAUGGAAAUCUGAUCCAGCCAUGCCGCGUGCAGGAAGACGGCCCUAUGGAUUGUAAACUGCUUUAGCAUGGGAGCAAUAAGGUGUACGCGUACACCGAUGAGAGUACCAUGAGAAUAAGCACCGGCUAACUCCGUGCCAGCAGCUGCGGUAAUACGGAAGGUCCGGGCGUUAUCCGGAUUUAUUGGGUUUAAAGGGAGCGUAGGCCGGAGAUUAAGCGUGUUGUGAAAUGUAGUGGCUCAACCUCUGCACUGCAGCGCGAACUGGUCUUCUUGAGUACGCACAACGUGGGCGGAAUUCGUGGUGUAGCGGUGAAAUGCUUAGAUAUCACGAAGAACUCCGAUUGCGAAGGCAGCUCACGGGAGCGCAACUGACGCUGAAGCUCGAAAGUGCGGGUAUCGAACAGGAUUAGAUACCCUGGUAGU